AUGGCUGGCGAGGACACCGACCCCAAGUCCAGUGCUGUUGCUGCUGCUGUCCCGUAUGUCUUCUUCUUUCUGUCACAUGUUCUGCCACUGUUACUUCUACUAGUACUUGCCCUACAUAUGUUAGGUUCUACUUCAUAUAUGCAACUAGUUCUACCGUCUGCUAUAGAUAUGUUUGGCUACGGUUCAUAUAUGCAGAAGCUAUUUACCUUCUCUCUGUCAGAACGCAUGACUUGCUUUGUCUCUACCUUUUUAGUCAUGCUUUAUCUAGUAUUUCUGUUAAUAAAAUCAUUCAGUAAAUUGCUCAUAUUUCCAACAAUCCAAAAACCUUAUUAUAGGCAAUUUACCUCGAAUGGUUUUGCUGCUUCCAUGAGACCUCCUAUGUUUGAGGGUAUCCACUAUAAGAGGUGGCGCUGA
rnacentral:rRNA from 1 species